rnacentral:misc_RNA from 1 species
ACUUUAAGAACUUUGGAAAACUACAUAAUUAUAAAUCAACUCAAAUUUUUAAUGUUGUUCUGUCCAUUUGAAAACUCUUUAUUCUCAUAGCUCAUCCUCGAAGAUUCAGUUCAAUCUUCUGUUCAACGAGAUAACUCCAUUAACCUACCACAAGGGUUCAGUUGACAAUGUCAUAAAACCAGAUUCCGCAACAAUGAAUGUUUAUAUGCAAACUGAGGAAACUCGUACCUGUAGUCAUUUAUGCAGAAAAGUGCAAGUGUAAAAUCUUUACAGUAGCAAGUUGAGUAGAAAACUGUUUCCAUAAAUCAACAAAUAACACUUCUCAUACCUGAAAUUCUGGAUUUUCUGGUGAUCAACAGCACCAUUUUGAUUUUCAUUACUGGGGAAGGUGAAAUCGAGUGAUAGUAGAAUAAACAUCCAAAGAAACCACUAGCGCUUAGACGUUUACGAGAAUAUUCUGCAACUAAACCAGCUAAUGUUGAACGGAUGUGUAACUAGACCAAUUGAAAGAGAAACUAGACUACUCCAUAAUUUUGAAGAGUAAAAUCUUCAACAUUAGUAAGUUUAGUAGCAAAAUGCACCCAUUUGUCAACAUCUUCACUCAUUUG